rnacentral:rRNA from 1 species
AGAAUCAACGCUGGCGGCGUGCCUCAGACAUGCAAGUCGAACGAUUAAAGCUCUCUUCGGAGAGUGCAUAGAGUGGCGCACGGGUGAGUAACACGUAAGUAAUCUACCUUUGAGUGGGGAAUAACGUUCGGAAACGGACGCUAAUACCGCAUAAUGCAGCGGCAUCGCAAGAUGACAGUUGUUAAAGGAGCAAUCCGCUUAAAGAGGAGCUUGCGGCAGAUUAGCUUGUUGGUAAGGUAACGGCUUACCAAGGCUACGAUCUGUAUCCGGUCUAAGAGGACGGUCGGACACACUGACACUGAAUAACGGGUCAGACUCCUACGGGAGGCAGCAGUCGGGAAUUUGGGCAAGUGGGGGAAACCUGACCCAGCAACGCCGCGUGGAAGGAUAGAAGUAUUUCGGUAUAGUAAAACUUACGAAAAGAAUAAGGAAAGAAAUAAAUAGAACGGUAACUAAUUUAAUAAGACUACCGGACUAACGUACGUAGCCAGCACGCCGAC